UUAAGCGACUAAGCGUACACGGUGGAUGCCCUGGCAGUCAGAGGCGAUGAAGGGCGUGCUAAUCUGCGAUAAGCGCCGGUAAGGUGAUAUGAACCGUUAUAACCGGCGAUACCCGAAUGGGGAAACCCAGUGUGAUUCGUCACACUAUCAUUAACUGAAUCCAUAGGUUAAUGAGGCGAACCGGGGGAACUGAAACAUCUAAGUACCCCGAGGAAAAGAAAUCAACCGAGAUUCCCCCAGUAGCGGCGAGCGAACGGGGAGGAGCCCAGAGCCUGAAUCAGCAUGUGUGUUAGUGGAAGCGUCUGGAAAGGCGCGCGAUACAGGGUGACAGCCCCGUACACAAAAGCGCAUGUGCUGUGAGCUCGAUGAGUAGGGCGGGACACGUGGUAUCCUGUCUGAAUAUGGGGGGACCAUCCUCCAAGGCUAAAUACUCCUGACUGACCGAUAGUGAACCAGUACCGUGAGGGAAAGGCGAAAAGAACCCCGGCGAGGGGAGUGAAAAAGAACCUGAAACCGUGUACGUACAAGCAGUGGGAGCACAGGUUUACCUGUGUGACUGCGUACCUUUUGUAUAAUGGGUCAGCGACUUAUAUUCUGUAGCAAGGUUAACCGAAUAGGGGAGCCGUAGGGAAACCGAGUCUUAACUGGGCGUUAAGUUGCAGGGUAUAGACCCGAAACCCGGUGAUCUAGCCAUGGGCAGGUUGAAGGUUGGGUAACACUAACUGGAGGACCGAACCGACUAAUGUUGAAAAAUUAGCGGAUGACCUGUGGCUGGGGGUGAAAGGCCAAUCAAACCGGGAGAUAGCUGGUUCUCCCCGAAAGCUAUUUAGGUAGCGCCUCGUGAAUUCAUCUCCGGGGGUAGAGCACUGUUUCGGCUAGGGGGCCAUCCCGGCUUACCAACCCGAUGCAAACUGCGAAUACCGGAGAAUGUUAUCACGGGAGACACACGGCGGGUGCUAACGUCCGUCGUGAAGAGGGAAACAACCCAGACCGCCAGCUAAGGUCCCAAAGUCAUGGUUAAGUGGGAAACGAUGUGGGAAGGCCCAGACAGCCAGGAUGUUGGCUUAGAAGCAGCCAUCAUUUAAAGAAAGCGUAAUAGCUCACUGGUCGAGUCGGCCUGCGCGGAAGAUGUAACGGGGCUAAACCAUGCACCGAAGCUGCGGCAGCGACACUGUGUGUUGUUGGGUAGGGGAGCGUUCUGUAAGCCUGUGAAGGUGGCCUGUGAGGGUUGCUGGAGGUAUCAGAAGUGCGAAUGCUGACAUAAGUAACGAUAAAGCGGGUGAAAAGCCCGCUCGCCGGAAGACCAAGGGUUCCUGUCCAACGUUAAUCGGGGCAGGGUGAGUCGACCCCUAAGGCGAGGCCGAAAGGCGUAGUCGAUGGGAAACGGGUUAAUAUUCCCGUACUUGGUGUUACUGCGAAGGGGGGACGGAGAAGGCUAUGUUGGCCGGGCGACGGUUGUCCCGGUUUAAGCGUGUAGGUGUGUGUUCCAGGUAAAUCCGGUUCACUUUAACACUGAGGCGUGACGACGAGGCACUACGGUGCUGAAGCAACAAAUGCCCUGCUUCCAGGAAAAGCCUCUAAGCAUCAGGUAACAUCAAAUCGUACCCCAAACCGACACAGGUGGUCAGGUAGAGAAUACCAAGGCGCUUGAGAGAACUCGGGUGAAGGAACUAGGCAAAAUGGUGCCGUAACUUCGGGAGAAGGCACGCUGACACGUAGGUGAAGUGAUUUACUCAUGGAGCUGAAGUCAGUCGAAGAUACCAGCUGGCUGCAACUGUUUAUUAAAAACACAGCACUGUGCAAACACGAAAGUGGACGUAUACGGUGUGACGCCUGCCCGGUGCCGGAAGGUUAAUUGAUGGGGUCAGCGCAAGCGAAGCUCCUGAUCGAAGCCCCGGUAAACGGCGGCCGUAACUAUAACGGUCCUAAGGUAGCGAAAUUCCUUGUCGGGUAAGUUCCGACCUGCACGAAUGGCGUAAUGAUGGCCAGGCUGUCUCCACCCGAGACUCAGUGAAAUUGAACUCGCUGUGAAGAUGCAGUGUACCCGCGGCAAGACGGAAAGACCCCGUGAACCUUUACUAUAGCUUGACACUGAACAUUGAGCCUUGAUGUGUAGGAUAGGUGGGAGGCUUUGAAGUGUGGACGCCAGUCUGCAUGGAGCCGACCUUGAAAUACCACCCUUUAAUGUUUGAUGUUCUAACGUGGACCCGUUACCCGGGUUGCGGACAGUGUCUGGUGGGUAGUUUGACUGGGGCGGUCUCCUCCUAAAGAGUAACGGAGGAGCACGAAGGUUGGCUAAUCCUGGUCGGACAUCAGGAGGUUAGUGCAAUGGCAUAAGCCAGCUUGACUGCGAGCGUGACGGCGCGAGCAGGUGCGAAAGCAGGUCAUAGUGAUCCGGUGGUUCUGAAUGGAAGGGCCAUCGCUCAACGGAUAAAAGGUACUCCGGGGAUAACAGGCUGAUACCGCCCAAGAGUUCAUAUCGACGGCGGUGUUUGGCACCUCGAUGUCGGCUCAUCACAUCCUGGGGCUGAAGUAGGUCCCAAGGGUAUGGCUGUUCGCCAUUUAAAGUGGUACGCGAGCUGGGUUUAGAACGUCGUGAGACAGUUCGGUCCCUAUCUGCCGUGGGCGCUGGAGAACUGAGGGGGGCUGCUCCUAGUACGAGAGGACCGGAGUGGACGCAUCACUGGUGUUCGGGUUGUCAUGCCAAUGGCACUGCCCGGUAGCUAAAUGCGGAAGAGAUAAGUGCUGAAAGCAUCUAAGCACGAAACUUGCCCCGAGAUGAGUUCUCCCUGAGACUUAGAGUCUCCUGAAGGAACGUUGAAGACGACGACGUUGAUAGGCCGGGUGUGUAAGCGCAGCGAUGCGUUGAGCUAACCGGUACUAAUGAACCGUGAGGCUUAACCUU
rnacentral:rRNA from 1 species